AUUCAACUGAUGAGUCCCGAAUAGGACGGAGGGCGUGUCUUGGAU
rnacentral:hammerhead_ribozyme from 1 species